rnacentral:rRNA from 1 species
GAUGAACGCUGGCGGCGUGCCUAAUACAUGCAAGUCGAGCGAACAGACGAGGAGCUUGCUCCUCUGACGUUAGAGGCGGACGGGUGAGUAACACGUGGAUAACCUACCUAUAAGACUGGGAUAACUUCGGGAAACCGGAGCUAAUACCGGAUAAUAUAUUGAACCGCAUGGUUCAAUAGUGAAAGACGGUUUUGCUGUCACUUAUAGCUGGAUCCGCGCCGCAUUAGCUAGUUGGUAAGGUAACGGCUUACCAAGGCAACGAUGCGUAGCCGACCUGAGAGGGUGAUCGGCCACACUGGAACUGAGACACGGUCCAGACUCCUACGGGAGGCAGCAGUAGGGAAUCUUCCGCAAAGGGCGAAAGCCUGACGGAGCAACGCCGCGUGAGUGAUGAAGGUCUUCGGAUCGUAAAACUCUGUUAUUAGGGAAGAACAAAUGUGUAAGUAACUAUGCACGUCUUGACGGUACCUAAUCAGAAAGCCACGGCUAACUACGUG